rnacentral:rRNA from 1 species
CAUAGCGACUAUCGUGGCAUAUCAAUAAGCGGAGGAAAAGAAACUAACAAGGAUUCCCUUAGUAACGGCGAGUGAAGCGGGAAGAGCUCAAAUUUGAAAUCUUCAAGGUUCUACCUUGACGAAUUGUAGUUUAUAGAAGUGUUUUCUGUUAGUAGAGUGGCAAAAGUUCUUUGGAAUAGGACAUCAUAGAGGGUGAGAAUCCCGUAUUUGAUCAUUCUUUCUAGCGUUGUGAUACACUUUCAACGAGUCGGAUUGUUUGGGAAUGCAGUCCAAAAUGGGUGGUAAAUUUCAUCUAAAGCUAAAUAUUGGCGAGAGACCGAUAGCGAACAAGUACCGUGAGGGAAAGAUGAAAAGAACUUUGAAAAGAGAGUUAAACAGUACGUGAAAUUGUCAAAAGGGAAGCGUUUGACACCAGUGUUGUUUUUCCGAAAAUCAAUUACGAAUGUUUUAGUUUUUGAGAAGUUAUGACUUCAUCGGCUUGCUUCUCUCUUUAUGAAACUUUCUUAAUGCACUUUUCGGUUAACAAGUCAACAUCAAUUUCUUUUGUUGUAAAAGGGUAUGAGGAAGGUGGCUUUCUUUUCGGAGAAAGUGUUUAUAGCCUUGUAGCCUCUACAAUCGGAGAGAUUGAGGUCUGCAGCGUAGAUCCUUCGGGGUUAGAUACAGUUUGUGCUAAGUUAUAGCUUUUCAUAGACAACUUGUUGACUAUGUUUAGUCUUGUAGCUUACUCGCUGAUGCUAUUUUACCUACGCUUAGGAUGUUGAUAUGCAUGACUGAUAU